AUUGAACGCUGGCGGCAUGCUUUACACAUGCAAGUCGAACGGUAACAGGGUGCUUGCACCGCUGACGAGUGGCGAACGGGUGAGUAAUGCGUCGGAACGUGCCGAGUAGUGGGGGAUAACGCAGCGAAAGUUGUGCUAAUACCGCAUACGUACUGAGGUAGAAAGUGGGGGACCUUCGGGCCUCACGCUAUUCGAGCGGCCGACGUCUGAUUAGCUAGUAGGUGAGGUAAAGGCUCACCUAGGCGACGAUCAGUAGCGGGUCUGAGAGGAUGAUCCGCCACACUGGGACUGAGACACGGCCAAGACUCCUACGGGAGGCAGCAGUGGGGAAUUUUGGACAAUGGGCGAAAGCCUGAUCCAGCCAUGCCGCGUGUCUGAAGAAGGCAUUCGGGUUGUAAAGGACUUUUGUCGGGGAGGAAAUCCCCAGCGUUAAUACCGCUGGGGGAUGACAGUACCUGAAGAAUAAGCACCGGCUAACUACGUGCCAGCAGCCGCGGUAAAAC
rnacentral:rRNA from 1 species